UACGGGGGGAGCAAGCGUUGUCCGGAUUUAUUGGGCGUAAAGAGCGUGUAGGCGGUUAUGCAGGUCCGCUGUGAAAACUGGAGGCUUAACCUCCAGACGUCGGUGGAAACCGUAUGACUAGAGUCCGGAAGAGGAGAGUGGAAUUCCUGGUGUAGCGGUGAAAUGCGCAGAUAUCAGGAAGAACACCCGUGGCGAAGGCGGCUCUCUGGGACGGUACUGACGCUGAGACGCGAAAGCGUGGGGAGCGAACAGG
rnacentral:rRNA from 1 species